rnacentral:rRNA from 1 species
AUUGAACGCUGGCGGCAUGCCUUACACAUGCAAGUCGAACGGCAGCACGGGGGCAACCCUGGUGGCGGGUGGCGAACGGGUGAGUAACAUAUCGGAACAUACCCUAGAGUGGGGGAUAACGUAGCGAAAGUUACGCUAAUACCGCAUACGAUCUAAGGAUGAAAGUGGGGGAUCUUCGGACCUCAUGCUCAUGGAGUGGCCGAUAUCUGAUUAGCUAGUUGGUGAGGUAAAGGCUCACCAAGGCGACGAUCAGUAGCUGGUUUGAGAGAACGACCAGCCACACUGGAACUGAGACACGGUCCAGACUCCUACGGGAGGCAGCAGUGGGGAAUUUUGGACAAUGGGGGCAACCCUGAUCCAGCAAUGCCGCGUGAGUGAAGAAGGCCU